UACGGAGGGGGCUAGCGUUGUUCGGAAUGACUGGGCGUAAAGGGCGCGUAGGCGGUUUAUUAAGUGAGGCGUGAAAGCCCUGGGCUUAACCCAGGAUGUGCGUUUCAUACUGAUAAGCUAGAGUGCGAGAGAGGAAAGUGGAAUUCCUAGUGUAGAGGUGAAAUUCGUAGAUAUUAGGAAGAACACCAGAGGCGAGGGCGGCUUUCUGGCUCGCAACUGACGCUGAGGCGCGAAAGCGUGGGGAGCAAACAGG
rnacentral:rRNA from 1 species